GGAAUAUUGGACAAUGGGCGCAAGCCUGAUCCAGCCAUGCCGCGUGUGUGAAGAAGGCCUUCGGGUUGUAAAGCACUUUCAGCGGGGAGGAAGGGUGUUGUGUUAAUAGCACAGCAUUUUGACGUUACCCGCAGAAGAAGCACCGGCUACCUCCGUGCCAGCAGCCGCGGUAAUACGGAGGGUGCAAGCGUUAAUCGGAAUUACUGGGCGUAAAGCGCGCGUAGGCGGUUUGGUAAGUCGGUUGUGAAAGCCCCGGGCUGAACCUGGGGAUUGCAGUCGAUACUGUCUGACUAGAGUAUGGUAGAAGGAAGUGGAAUUUCCGGUGUAGCGGUGAAAUGCGUAGAUAUCGGAAGGAACACCAGUGGCGAAGGCGACUUCCUAGGCCAAUACUGACGCUGAGGUGCGAAAGCGUGGGGAGCAAA
rnacentral:rRNA from 1 species